rnacentral:lncRNA from 1 species
GUUUAGCUUUAGCCCAGUCAGGCCUACCCCUGGAUUUCAGAGUGGCGUCAAAUUCUCCUGCGUCCUGUGAUAUGCAUGAUACAGACCUAAAUGAAACUGGCAUUCUCUUGGGAAGGAAGAGUGGAGAAUGGGUGCUGGAUUGCAACUAACGGCAUCUACUACACUUUCCAGAUCCUGUUUUGGAAACAUUUUAGUGGACUAAAACAUCUUUUUCAAAAAAAGAACACAUGUGCUUAAUGCCUCUGUUCAUUUCCUUUCUUAAAAAUUGUUCUCCCAUUUUACUUUUACUCUUCCUACUUCUUCUUCCUCUUUGCCAUAUUCAGUAUUGUUUGAAAAGAUCUAGAGAAGACUCAGACCCCUUUAGGAACCCGGAAAAAUGUAUUACUCACCCCUUUUGUGGAGGUCUUCCAUUUUCCUUGUGAAGAUUCAAGAGUGAUGGUCUUCUUGGGUCUAAAGCUCUGCCCUCUUUUGAAUUGUUACCUAAUCUCUUUGGCUUUUGUGGGGGGUGCCAGAAAUUACAUUAUAUUGUGAGAAAACUAGACUUUGGUGUGUGUAAUGGUUGGGUAAGAGAUACAGUUUUAGAGGUGGCUGAUGGAAGUUGUUUAUGGUAAAUGGUCAUUACUACAGAGGGCUACUUGCUUCUUGCACAUUUGGGUUAAAAAAAAUGUGGUUUAGGGCCUGGUGCAGUGGUUCAUGCCUGUAAUCCCAGCAUUUUGGGAGGCCUGAGUGGGCGGAUCACCUGAGGUCAGGAGUUCGAGACCAGCCUGGCCAACAUGGUGAAUGUCAGGCCUCUGAGCCCAAGCUAAGCCAUCAUAACCCCUGUGACCUGCCCGUAUACAUCCAGAUAGCCUGAAGCAACUGAAGAAUCAAAAAAGAAGUGAAACAACCAGUUCUUGCCUUAACUGAUGACAUUCCACCAUUGUGAUUUGUUCCUGCCUCACCCUAACUAGUCAAUCGACCUUGUGUAUCCCUCCCCUGGACAAUGAGUCUCAUGAUCUCCCCACUGUGCACCUUGUGACCCUGUCCCUGCCUGCAAGAGAUAACCACCUUUAACUGUAAUGUUCCACUGCCUACCCUAAUCCUAUAAAACUGCCCCACCCUUAUCUCCCUUUGCCCACUCCUUUUUCAGAUUCAGCCCACUUGCACCCAAGUGAAUAAACAGCCUCGUUGCUCACACAAA